UUGGGCGUCAUUUUGUUGCAGA
rnacentral:misc_RNA from 1 species